CGGAAAAACUACCAACAGGAAUGGAGCAAAUACCAACAUCCAAGAGAUUAUUACCAACACCAACAUCUAGACCUGUUCCAGGGUUACACACCUUUUUCAUAAAUUCUACUCCUACAGAUAUGCAAACUACAAUUUUCAUCCCAAAUAUGACAUACAACAUAAAAUAUUAUGUAUGUUACCAGAGUAAACAGGCUCAUAGGUAAAAUGCUGUAUAAUAUUAUAAACUCUGAAUUUAACCAUAAGUUUUUAUUCAGCCAACUAGUAGGCCUGAAUCAUAAUGUAGUCUUACAGACAACAAAACAGACACAAUAUUUAUGAUAAAAUAAGUACCUGAUGUUA